CCCCAGGUGGCGGAAGUGGUAGACGCACUGGACUUAAAAUCCAGCGAUUGUUAUAGGUCAUGCCGGUUCAAGUCCGGCUCUGGGGACCA
rnacentral:tRNA from 1 species